UGAUCCUGACCCCGCCCACAAGCUUUUUGAUCUAACAUCCCCCCCACCCCCGCUUGUGUCCCCACCCUAGGCUCUGUGCGACUUGGCCUCUUCCAUCCACUGAACAUUUUUCCUUGUUUCUCUAUAUUCGCUUAUUAUAGGCUCACCUUUGACCUCUUUUUCUGGGAGUGCUUCCGUAUGGAAAGCUAUGACAUUCGUGCCUCUCAAAAAGCCAGAGUUCUCGGAUUUCUGCCCGCUGUUCCCAGCACCCGCAUGGCUGUCCCCCAGCUCCAGUUCCGAAACGUCCAGAAGACGUGGGCACCAGGCACACACUUGGAACCCUGACAUGUGUGCAGGCAAAAAUACCUGUAUGCAUUAAAUAAAAAAAUGUAAAUCUGGGCUGGGGAUUUAGCUCAGUGGUAGAGCGCUUACCUAGGAAGCGCAAGGCCCUGGGUUCGGUCCCCAGCUCCGAAAAAAAAAAAAAAAGAAAAAGAAAAAAAAUGUAAAUCCUCCAAAUCAAAAGGCUGAUGGGAGAGGAAAAUGAACAAAAUAAAAAUAUCCAGCGUCCCAGAGAAAAGCUAUUUGGGAUGGUGAAAUGUGGAAAGAAAAUGCUGGGAUGGGGGGUGCACAGGAAAUAAAUUUACGUUUUUGUUGUC